CAGAGGUCCCGAGCGUUGUUCGGAUUCACUGGGCGUAAAGGGUGCGUAGGCGGCUUUGCAAGUCUGAUGUGAAAUCUCCAGGCCCAACCUGGAAACGGCAUUAGAAACUGCGGGGCUGGAGGCUUGGAGGGGGAACUGGAAUGCUCGGUGUAGCAGUGAAAUGCGUAGAGAUCGAGCGGAACACCAGUGGCGAAGGCGAGUUCCUGGACAAGACCUGACGCUGAGGCACGAAAGCCAGGGGAGCAAACAGGAUUAGAUACCCUGGUAGUCCUGGCUGUAAACGGUGCACGUUUGCUGUAAGAGGAAUCGACCCCUUUUGUGGCGGAGCUAACGCGAUAAACGUGCCGCCUGGGGAGUACGGUCGCAAGAUUA
rnacentral:rRNA from 1 species